rnacentral:rRNA from 1 species
UGGGGAAUAUUGCACAAUGGGCGCAAGCCUGAUGCAGCCAUGCCGCGUGUAUGAAGAAGGCCUUCGGGUUGUAAAGUACUUUCAGUCGGGAGGAAGGUGGUAAGGUUAAUAACCUUAUCAAUUGACGUUACCGACAGAAGAAGCACCGGCUAACUCCGUGCCAGCAGCCGCGGUAAUACGGAGGGUGCAAGCGUUAAUCGGAAUUACUGGGCGUAAAGCGCACGCAGGCGGUUGAUUGAGUCAGAUGUGAAAGCCCCGGGCUUAACCCGGGAAUUGCAUCUGAUACUGGUCAGCUAGAGUCUUGUAGAGGGGGGUAGAAUUCCAUGUGUAGCGGUGAAAUGCGUAGAGAUGUGGAGGAAUACCGGUGGCGAAGGCGGCCCCCUGGACAAAGACUGACGCUCAGGUGCGAAAGCGUGGGGAGCAAACAGG